CAGUGGCGAACGGGUGAGUAACACGUGGGCAAUCUGCCCUUCACUCUGGGACAAGCCCUGGAAACGGGGUCUAAUACCGGAUACGACCUUCCCUCGCAUGGGGGUGGGUGGAAAGCUCCGGCGGUGAAGGAUGAGCCCGCGGCCUAUCAGCUUGUUGGUGGGGUAAUGGCCUACCAAGGCGACGACGGGUAGCCGGCCUGAGAGGGCGACCGGCCACACUGGGACUGAGACACGGCCCAGACUCCUACGGGAGGCAGCAGUGGGGAAUAUUGCACAAUGGGCGAAAGCCUGAUGCAGCGACGCCGCGUGAGGGAUGACGGCCUUCGGGUUGUAAACCUCUUUCAGCAGGGAAGAAGCGCAAGUGACGGUACCUGCAGAAGAAGCACCGGCUAACUACGUGCCAGCAGCCGCGGUAAUACGUAGGGUGCGAGCGUUGUCCGGAAUUAUUGGGCGUAAAGAGCUCGUAGGCGGCCUGUCACGUCGGAUGUGAAAGCCCGGGGCUUAACCCCGGGUCUGCAUUCGAUACGGGCAGGCUAGAGUUCGGUAGGGGAGAUCGGAAUUCCU
rnacentral:rRNA from 1 species